UAUGACCGCGCAAAAUUUGAGAAUUUAAGCGAGCAAUGUUUUUGAAAUAUUUGUUACUUCACUUCAAAUUUUGAAUAUCGGAGCAAAAUUUUCUGCCUAUGUUAAAGAUAUACAGAUAUAUAGAGUUGUAGUGAUGGUGAAUGGCACCGAAAAGAAAGCGAGAAGUCCCAAAGAAUGUUGGCAGGCAGAGUCAAAGAAAUUAAACUACCUAUUUUGCCCUAUUACGGUAGUAAAUACAUCCAUGUCGAUUGAUGAGCAAGAAAAUAAAUUGAACGAUUAUAUAGCAGAUUUUCUACUCAAAGUAAAGAACAGGAGUGAAAGAAUAUUAAAAUGCAUUCAAAAAGCCAAAGCACAGACUGCAAAUGCUUAUAAGAGUCCAAUCAUUGAAGUUGUUAAGGUCAAGUCUUUCAUUACCUAAGCACAACCAGUGGUGUCUAAACUACAUCCCAUCCUUCAAGAUCAUUGGCAUAUCCAAGUUUACAAUUUUUUUCCAGUUUUUCCACUACAUCAAUAUAUCAUUCCAGGUCUUGAAAUGUUGUUUUUACCUUUUUCAGAAUGUACGCCAAAUGAAAUUUAAAGAAUUUCUAAAAAGAGUUUCAUUGGGACAAUUAUCUCAUUAUUCUAUGCAACUUGUGAUUCCUGGCAGAUUUUCAGAGACAACGCAGGAAAUGUUGAUUGAGCCAUUACUGCGCAGGUGACAGCGUACAUAACAGAGCUUCAAGCAUCAGGAUCAGUGACUGACAACAUGUCUGUUAAGUCAAGAGUGACGGACGCUGAAGGAGGGAGAAAGUCACUAUCUUACAAUGCCAGUGUGAAAUCUCUCUUGUAAAAUCAAUAGCUCAGGGAACGUACGUAUGGAUCAAAUAGAUCAAAUAUGGAUCAAUUUGUGUCGUUAUUUCGCUAUGAAACUUUACAAAAACUUCGUUCGUGAAUUGUUCGUGUUAAAAGUAUGAGAGCUCCAAAACCUGGAGAGAGUGAUACCCAUGACUGGAUCACCGCUGACCAAUGAUGUUGCGCCCUCGGACAACAAUGCUCCGAAGGGCAUCAUACUAUUAACAGCUGGUAAGUUUACAGAUGAUGAUUGUUUUCAACGAGAAUUUGAGAUGUGUUCCAUGUAAAGGCAGGUUUUUGGUCAAAACCUCUCGAAAAUGAUGAGCCAGGGGAGGUCAUCAGAUUGGUAUGGCUCACAGCCUGUUAAAUUAAACACGUUCUAUAAAUAUUUACGAACAAUGUGCGAGGUAGUUUACGUUGACAUGAAAGGUUGAAGAUUUUCAAAUGAUUUUGGAAAGGUUACGUGUCCAACAACCAUCUAAGAAAGGAACAUUUUCAUUGAUGAACAAACAAUAAUGUGUCGGACUGGUUAUCGAAGCACAUCAUUGUUAGAUGAUGCAAAAGGCCAAGUUCUACUCUGGUUAUGUCAGUUUUUAAAGCACUUCAACAACCUGCUCCAGUGGAUGUUUCAAGUUCAAAGAAAAUUGACGUAGAUAAGAAGAAAGUGUUAGUACGACAAAUACACGACGUACUUUAAAAGUUAUUGAACAUGGAAAAACAUGUUUGUUGUUUUAUUUUAUGUAACACACAUGUGUUUGCUUUUAAUUUUGUGAGCAAUUAUUAGUUUUUCCAAUUUUUUCAUAAGACUUAUUUUAGUUUCAACAUGAAUAUAUUUACAUCAUCGAGAUGCGUUAGAAACGCGUUAAAUUUCAUCACCUUGUUAGUUAUUCAGAGAUGAAAUGUAAUGUGGAGUUACGACAGUCAUUAGUAUCCUUUAACCUCAUUAGUAUUUUCUAUUUAGAGAAUACUAAUAAGGAAGUGAACAAUAAAAAAACAAUAUCUUGUUAGUAUUCUCUAUAUAUGGAUUAAAAAUGAGAUUUAGUGAA